GGUCAGGCUGAAGACCUUACCGGAUUAGCUGAGAGGUGGUGCAUGGCCGUCGUCAGUUCGUACUGUGAAGCAUCCUGUUAAGUCAGGCAACGAGCGAGACCCACGUCCACAGUUGCCAGCAUACCCUCCGGGGUGAUGGGUACACUGUGGAGACCGCCGCUGCUAAAGCGGAGGAAGGAAUGGGCAACGGUAGGUCAGUAUGCCCCGAAUCUCCCGGGCUACACGCGGGCUACAAUGGUUGGUACAAUGGGCAUCUACCCCGAAAGGGGAAGGAAAUCUCUUAAAGCCAAUCGUAGUUCGGAUUGAGGGCUGCAACUCGCCCUCAUGAAGCUGGAAUCCGUAGUAAUCGCGUUUCAAAAUAGCGCGGUGAAUAUGUCCCUGCUCCUU
rnacentral:rRNA from 1 species